UGUAUUUAUUAGAUUAAAAACCAAUGCCCUUCGGGGCUCCUUGGUGAUUCAUAAUAACUUAACGAAUCGCAUGGCCUUGUGCCGGCGAUGGUUCAUUCAAAUUUCUGCCCUAUCAACUUUCGAUGGUAGUAUAUGGGACUACCAUGGUUUCAACGGGUAACGGGGAAUUAGGGUUCUAUUCCGGAGAGGGAGCCUGAGAAACGGCUACCACAUCCAAGGAAGGCAGCAGGCGCGCAAAUUACCCAAUCCCGACACGGGGAGGUAGUGACAAUAAAUACUGAUACAGGGCUCUUUUGGGUCUUGUAAUUGGAAUGAGUACAAUUUAAAUCCCUUAACGAGGAACAAUUGGAGGGCAAGUCUGGUGCCAGCAGCCGCGGUAAUACCAGCUCCAAUAGCGUAUAUUAAAGUUGUUGCAGUUAANAAGCUCGUAGUUGAACCUUGGGCCUGGCUGGCCGGUCCGCCUCACCGCGUGCACUGGUCCGGCCGGGUCUUUCCUC
rnacentral:rRNA from 1 species